rnacentral:rRNA from 1 species
AUUGAACGCUGGCGGCAGGCCUAACACAUGCAAGUCGAACGAGUGGCGGACGGGUGAGUAAUGCCUGGGAAACUGCCCGAUGGAGCGGGAUAACUACUGGAAACGUUAGCUAAUACCGCAUACCAUCGGAUGUGCCCACAUGGGAUUAGCUACUAGGAGGGGUAACGGUUCACCUAGGCGACGAUCCCUAGCUGGUCUGAGAGGAUGACCAACCACACUGGAACUGAGAAACGGUGCAGACUCCUAAGGGAGGCAGCAGUGGGGAAUAUUGCACAAUGGGCGCAAGCCUGAUGCAGCCAUGCCGCGUGUAUGAAGAAUGCCUUCGGGUUGUAGAGUACUUUCAGCGAGGAGGCGUUACUCGCAGAAGAAGCACCGGCUAACUCCGUGCCAGCAGCCGCGGUAAUUC